UACGGAGGGUGCGAGCGUUGUCCGGAAUCACUGGGCGUAAAGGGCGCGUAGGUGGCGCGGUAAGCGGGUGGUGAAAGUCCGGGGCUCAACCCCGGAUCGGCCAUGCGAACUGCCGCGCUCGAGCACUGUAGAGGCAGGUGGAAUUCCGGGUGUAGCGGUGGAAUGCGUAGAGAUCCGGAAGAACACCGGUGGCGAAGGCGGCCUGCUGGGCAGUUGCUGACACUGAGGCGCGACAGCGUGGGGAGCAAACAGG
rnacentral:rRNA from 1 species